rnacentral:sRNA from 1 species
AUUCCAUUCCCCAAUCUCGAUUCCCGAUCCCGCCCCCCGUUUAAUUGUUUUGUGCCGCUCAAUUUCAAUUUGAAGCAGUUUGAAUCAAUUUAUGCAAAUAAAAUUGUAUAAAAAUGGAAAGGCCAUUCUUUUCUCGUUUCUUCUCUAGAUUUCAGUUUCUUGUCUGGUGUCAAUCUGCUGCUCUAAUGAUUCUUUAUUUAUAGACCAAGCAAUAUGGGUUCUUUCGUCAACGACACAUUUCCGUUAAUUGUUUCAGGUUUUUGUCGUGGGCCCCCGAGUAUAGAAUAGAUCUAUUAUUAAUCCGUCAAAUCCCGGUCACAUGUGCAAGAUUUCGCACACAAACAGUCCAUCGAUUUUUGUGAGUAGGAGUGUCGUCUGUACUUUGCCCUGGCCCCAAAAUCGACUUCUCUUCGAAGUGGUCUGGCCUUGUCAUCAAAUUGCUGUCAAGAAUUCCAGUAUAGAACAGAAUAAAACAGAACCGAACCGAACCGAAGAAGAACCAGCGGCUCAGGGGUUUAAUUACGACGCUGAAGUCGGUGUCGGUGUCGGUGUCUAGUCGGGUCUGAUAAAUGAUAUAUGUUACAUAUGUAUUUAUGUGCAUAUAUUUGUGGCUUGCUCUUGUGUGUGUUGCCAUAUUUCGUUUCCCCUUUCUACAGACGCUUCGUAUACAGUUUUUAGCCAGUUGUUUUGGUCAUGUUACGUUCCAUUCUCGCAUACUUCGCCACACUUCAGCAUAUUUCGCCACAAGGUUGAAUGAACUGCCCUGACCUCUCUCUCUCUCUCUUCCAGGGGUCGCCUGCACUCAGAUAUGUAAGUCUGUCUGGGAAGCUGCAUUCCCUGAAACAUCAAUUUACAUUGACUUGCAAUAAAAUGUGACAUUGAAGACGAUUCACAUUUUAUAUUACUGACUCAUAAAUAUUAUUUAUUAUCUAACAUCGUUAUCAAAUCACGCACGAAAAUUGCCAAAAAAAUACCGAUUGCAUCACUUCGCUACGGUGCGUGUCUACUUUUACUAUUCGUAUUCAUUGUAAAUAAAAAUGAAGGAAUGAAAGCUAGAAUGAUUUCCUUUUCGAUCUUUCUUUGGUUGUUAUUGUCUCUACUUAGUUUUCCCCUGAUAAACUAAAUACAAUGUAUUGUUUCUCGUUUAAAUAAAGCUCUCAUUAACAUCAUUAAGAUAUCUACGUUUCUUCUCACUAUUUGUCUCUCUCUCUCUCUUUCUCUCUUUGUGGAUCUAUUCUAGAACUGUACUGCCGGAGAUCACUCAAAAAAUUAACACCUAUCUCGUUGAGACGUGACAGAUCACUAGAAUUCGGUUUUUAAACCUUGAAAUCGACAUUUUAGCAAUGUGAAAUAUGUACAUACAUAUGUACAUAUGUCGAAAAACAAGGGUAAUAUUAUUAGGGAUUAAGAUUUCGUCCGAAUGAGAGAAGAAUUGUGCAAGAACGAAGGCAAUGUAUUUUUGUAGCGUGAGAAUGUUUGAGAAAAUGCCGACAGGCAUAAAAAAAAAUCGCAGAUGCAUGCCAGAAACAUGUAGCAUAAAUAGAAGGCAUAAAUAGUCUGCUCUCUCUCGCUGUGGUAAUAGUCCUCUCUGGGAAAACCACCCGGUCGAGCCCCUCGCAGACGAUACAGAUACCGUUACUGGGAAAUCGGCUGGAAUCAACAGAGAACAGUCGGCGGCAUAGUGCAAAGCAUAUCCAAUAUUUCAUCAGCAAAAAUGUGAUCCCCCUCUUUUCUACGAUUAUAUUCGGAAUGCAUUAGGCAAUCAUAAGCGUUUUCAACGGGCUGGUAAAGAGCAAAAUAAUCUGACUGGAGCCAAGCUGUAGAAUUUGUCCAUUAUCUGAUUAAAACUUUUUUUGUACGCUGAUCUGGCUAUGUGCGCUGAACUGAGAGCGGGCCAAAAUUAAAAGAGAGCAAGCAACCACGAUAAAGAGACCGGUAAUAUAUGUACAUAGAGCGAAACAUUCGGGCAAUGAGAGGGGAGGGGAAGGAACGUGGUGCAAAGGAUGAGAAGACAAAGGAUGGGCAUAUCUUAUAAAAAACUCUCAUGAAGGGGAAAAACGGCCUGGUGUUACUGACCCAUCUUUGGCUGAUGAAAUUGAAAUCUAACUUUCAUGAGCUUCUCCUUGUAGAAAUGCAUUGCAUCAUCCUCAAAAGUUUAUUAGUGUUCUACAUUAUUAGUGCUUUACAGAGAUAAACCAAAACCAAGUUUAUUGUUAAAAUGUAAAACUUUAUUCAAAAAAUCAGCACUAGUUUUUGUUUUUAGAUUACAAUUAAUUUGAUUUUGCAUAAAUUAUAUGAAACCGCAUGAAUUUGUUUCAAUUUACAGGAAUAGACAAAAGUUGUUACACGUUUGAGAUUCGAUUUAAGGCAAUCGAUCAGUUAGAGUGGAAUAUGUAAUAAUACAAUUUGAGCUGAAUUCAGACAAGCUGACGAUUGCACGGGAAAUUCUUACAGAAUAUCGUUGUAUUUAUGUAUGGUAUGUGUUUGCUGAUCUGAUCCGUGAUCUGUGGCAGAGCUGUAUGGGUAGCUAUAUAGAUAUGAGGGUCUCUGGUCUGACUGUGUCUGUAGUUUCUAUGUGUGUCCACAGUUUGGAACUGCUUUUCAGUUACUAUUGAGUUUGAGUUUAAGAGUUAUUAUUAGGUUUUAUCUGUGACUUGAGUUGACUUGAGUCCAGUUCAGUUUGGUUGAUUGAUUGACUGUAGUUUGAUGGUAUAUUAGUUGAGUUUCAGUGCUUGUGUGUGAUGUGAGGGCUGUGCUAAAAAUUCCUUGUCCAUGGACGUAAAUGCUUAAUGUCUAGCAAAGUACG